GGGAACAGCCUGGAAGUUGUAGAAGCUCCUCCGCCCUGUCCUGGCACAGCAUCCAAUGUUUAAAGUGCAAGGGUUUAAGGCCUGUCGACUGUGGGGCUGCUUUACAACACCAGAGUGAAGAAGAGACACCUGAGCUUUAAAGAAGUCACUGGAAGCCUGAGAGGACAAACGCUUCUCAUUGGAGGAAGCUGGAGGUUGGAACCCAGGAAAUCUAGAAAUGAAAAAGGGAAAUGGAUUUGGGAAGAGUCAUGAUGACUCCACCUUUGGCAUGUUCCCCAGUGUGCACACCGAGACCCUUCAUUCCACCCAUUUGGGAGAAGCAACAACUCCACUUGCUGGUCCUUCCAAAAAAUGCUCUCUGGUUUCUUCAAUGUCUACUCUC